GAAGUGGGGUGUGACACUCAUUGAAAUGAGCUGAGUCAGGCUGAGACGUAGAUGGUAGCAGAGCCCUCCAUCCCAGGGAGGGACUACAGCAGCCUUCGCUAUAUGGCUACAGCACAGAGCCACUGGUUGAACUGUAACCUCAGGGAUCCUGGGACUUAGAUCUUGUGUCCUUUACGCUGGAGUUCCAGGCACCUUGAGAGGAAUAACAGGAUGCUGCACUUCCUGAAGUCUUUAGUGUGACUUCGCAAGGGAAAGAGACGGGUUGUCUGCAAGCCAGUUGCCUCAGCUUGCCCAGGGAUCUCUCCUGUUCUUGACGGUACCACCUUCUUUCAGGGAAACGCGCCUCCCUCUGUUCUGAUGACAGUAGCACUAUCCAAGAGAACCAGAAUCCUUUCCUGGAGUUUCCCAGCCCAAGAGAGGAGAGGCACAACCUCCUGAGGGACAGGCUGUGGAUGUGAGUCUGAGACCAUCGGCACCUUGAGAGGUGGCUGCUCUGCAGGAGGAGUGCGCGAGGACAGCACACUGAGAGAAGCCAAGAGACAGAGAAGCCACAGGUGGACAUCCUGGUGGCAGUUCAGUUGGUUUUGUUGUCUGUGGGGACCUCUGCCCUUCCCCCUCUCCUUUUGCCUUUGUCUUGUAGUUCGGCACCUUUUGUUUUCUUCUUCCUCUUCCUUUUUUUUUUUUAAACUGUGGUAAGAAGACAGAAGAUCUACUAGAGAGUAAUUUUUAAGCGUACAGUGCAGUAUUGUUAAGUAUAAGCACAAGGUUGUACACCAGAUCUUCAGAGCUUUUUCAUCUUGCUUAACUGAAUUUGUGCUUUUUAGAGUUCGAUUUUAAUUCCUGAAGCUAAAAGAGUUGAAACUAUUAUACCAACCAAAUGCACAGAACCAGCAAGUUUCAUAUUGGAGGUUUUUGUUACCGGCAGUCAUAUGAGAUUUCCACAGAAUUGUAUAUGUUUCUGUAUGUAUAAAUAAUUAAAGCUAAAGUUUUAGAACAUAUUAAAAAUAUUAGCAUCAUUUUCCACAUUGGUCUGAAUAAAAGGUGUGAUCUAAAACACUACAACAGUACAGAUAAUUGCAUAAUCACUUUGAGAACCCUGGGGAGUUAAGAGGGGCAGGAGCAAGCCUUGGAGGAAGUCAGAGGGCAGAGGGGCACUUUAAGUCUCUGUUUUAAAGUUUGGAAAGUUUGUUUAUAACUGUACUGUUCUGAUUUUUUGACAGACAUCAAAUUCCCAGAAACCAUUUAAUCUAAGGCAAAGAUGAAAUUUCCUUUCAAAUACAGAAAUGUCAAUAUGGGAAUAUUAGAAAAAUACUAUAGAGGACAAAUCUCUAGAGUGGAACCUUUCAGGAACAUAAUUUACAAUUUCUCACAUGAUAGCCAGCAUCUUUGCCAUUUAUAAGGUUUUCUUCUGUAAAAAGUAACCAUUACAUUUGAGGUCGUCCUUCAUUUGGACUAAUCAAGUAUUGUGUUUGACCACUGGGGUUUAUCACCAUUUUUAUAUGCACUGCCUGUUGAAAAGGUAGAAACUGGAGCCCUUAAUUUUUUCCUGCAUUUUUGUUACUGUGCAUGUUCUUGUCUGAGUCAGUGACUUACAUCCUAUGCUGAGUUCUACAUUUCUGGAGAGUAGCUUUAUGCCCCCUGAGGAUUCUCUGCCCCAGCAGAGGAAGGAACUAUGACUGGGAUGACGUGCUGGGUUCCUGGCUUUCAUCAGACUCUGGAGACACAGGUCUGACGACAUUCAGAGGAGAAAAUAAAAACUGAUGAGUCCUCGAGGAAGCAAAUAGGAUACUAUCUGGAAAUUUAUACUGUUUGGUAACCGGGGCCAUGAAGAGCCAAAUCUAUAAAUUAUGCAAUUAAUGUCCACAUGCUAUGUCAUAAUCUCAUCCUGAAUAGAAGUGAAAUCUAAAGUUCUAAGGACAACAUUGUUAGGAUGGAGCAUCUUGUUGCCAUGCUGCCGCUACUCCAGCAACCACUCUUCUUGGUAAGUUACAGAGCCCCGCCUUCCUUUCAGUUUCCUAAGGGCUUUGGCUGCAUUUGGUCGGUCUGCUGCUCAGCCCCCAGAGUGUCUGUGAUAACCACCUCUAGCGUCAGUUAAGUCCACCUCAAAAGAGAUGCUAGCUGAAAUGCUGACUUUAAAGUAAAAUCUUAACCCAAGCUGCACUACAUUAUCUGAAACAUAUUUCAGAAAUAGUAAAUACUCUGUGACUGACGAUUGCAGCUGGUCACUGACUGCCGAGCUGGGGCUUCAUACAGCGACAUCAAGCCAUCGUAGUCCCUCUGCGCAGGCGGCUGCGAUGAUUACUGCUCCCGGGCCGUCUUCUUUCAGUCCUCUUGAGCAUAAAACAUCAUCCAGAAAGAUGCACUCCCUCUAACAGCCGCUAGCAGCUGCAUUCAGCUGUGGUCACUGAAUGCACAGUGUCCUCAGCCACCAUGCCCUCAGGGCCUGCAGGGACUUAGGUGACUCACAGUGACAAAACUCGUAAAUGAAGAACUCAGGUGAAGUGAAACCCUAAGAGAUGGUGUUGUUACAACUAACAUAAAACCUACAAGCUUCUUUCAAUAAUCUACCUUGUCCUCCUAGUUUUGAAACAGAAAUAUUUUUGAGUUAAUAUUUAGAUUCUGGGUCUGGGUCUGAAUGCUAUGGGUGUUUAACAUAAAAAGUUAAGGCCAGCAAUGGUGGCUGUAAUAUCCAGGCAGGUGGGAGAAGUUUAAUUGCUUUGUGUUCUUCUAUAAGCCUCUGUUCCUCCUGGAGGGAGAGGGCAUUACUCGUAAACUCUUCCGUCUCUUCCCUACCUGUUCUCUCAUUACAGCUUACUUUGUCAAGAAUGACAACAAUAUCUUACAUUCUCACAGAAGCCCCACAACAUAUAUACUAUUGCUGUCCUCAUUUUAGAAAUAAAGCAGCGAAGAUAAGAAUCUUGCUCAAGGUCUGAUGAGAAUCAGGAUUCGAAUGCAGACAGUCUGGCUUGGAAGUCUGUGCUCCAGUACAUGAUUCCACUUAGUUCUGCCCAAAAGAAGCGGCUUGGCUAUCCUCCUGCUAGAAGUGUCCCAGUAAGGCUGUGGACAAGCACUCUUGAUCAGGGGCUUGAGUCUCCGUGUGGAUAACACUGUACUACCAAGUCACUCUGAUUUAGUCAGUCCUUAAAUCCUCUGUUCCAGGGCAGAGGAUUCCUACAUUGACUCCUUUGCUUCCUUCUAUGGCAAUUUCCCAAAUUUGCUGGAUGCUAAGAAUUGUCUGCAAUACUUGUUAAACGUGUAGCUUCACAGGAUCUCAGGAUCCACUGGGUCCGAUGUGGUCCCAGAAACGUUUAUUUUUAACGAGUGAACCAAGUGAUUCUUCUUAUCACUCAAGUUCAAGAAACACUGGUCUCGUGGUUUUAGCCAAUGGGAACAUAGCUGAUGUUAAGUAUUAUAUAUUAUAAAUAUUAAGUCAAAGUGUUAUUAAGUAGAUGACAUUUCUAUAGCCAAAGUAAUCCAAAGCAAUCAGUACAUAUGGUUUUCUUCAGGUUUGCAGUACAAAGUGCUUUUCUUCAGGAAGGAUUUGGGUUGGAAUGUCUUCGUUUUUUUUGUUGUUUGGUUUUUUGUUUUGUUUUGUUUUUUUCUUUUUGAGUGAUGACUGUUAGAAAAAAUUCUUUAAUGGUUGUGCCCUUGAGCAUGUUUCUGCAUUGCUCUGGUGACGGAACAGCUUAAAUCAGAUAGAAAGUAAACCAUUUCAUACAGUUCUUUUAAGUCCUGCCUAAGAGAAUUUUGGAGAAGAGUAAACUAAAUAAAGAGGAGAGAGGAGUACACAGUUCUUGUUCCUUAAAGGACCCUAAGGAAACUCUUCAUAUAACUAAGAGGGGGACUCGGGCUUUUCAACUUAAAUGUUUAUGAAUCCUAUACAGGAUGAUUUAGGAGAAAUAGGGAUUCGUUCAGUUCACAUAGUCUAAUCAGGAAGCAGAAAAAAUCUUUGACGCUCAAAGAACUCUAAUGCAAGACUGUUGAAAUUUGUGCUCAUCAAAAUAUUGUUUAAUGUUAAAAAUAAAAAGAUCUAAACAUG